AAGUCGUAACAAGGUCUCCGUUGGUGAACCAGCGGAGGGAUCAUUACCGAGUUUACAACUCCCAAACCCAUUGUGAACUUAUACCCAAAACGUUGCCUCGGCGGACACAGCGGUACCCGAGCCCCCGCAAGGGAGCAAAGGCGCCCCGUCCGCCAGGGGACCAAAACUCUUCUGUAUACCCAUAGCGGCAUGUCUGAGUGGAUUUAAAAACAAAUGAAUCAAAACUUUCAACAACGGAUCUCUUGGUUCUG
rnacentral:misc_RNA from 1 species